AUCUGGGCAAAACAGGGAAAACAGUGCCUUGAGGGGUUAGCGAAAAAUGUUGUUUCCCUAUGGUCCUGCUCACUUGCAGCCUCCAACCCACACUGACCCAUGGGAAACCCAUUGCCAUGAGGCGCUAGAUCAAAUUAAAAAUUUGUAUGGUUGAAUGCAAUGCCAGUUACUCUCAAAGAAGACAUAAUGGAAAUGGAAAUGUCCCAAAGUAGAUUCCAAAAGGAUCAAAGAAAAUGGCCUCCAGUGGAUUCCGCACCCUAAGCCUGUGAUGGAGGAAUAGGAAAGUGGAAUUAUGGGACCCCACCAAGUCAGUGAAGAUCUAGAAUGGGGGAAGAAC
rnacentral:lncRNA from 1 species